GACGAACGCUGGCGGCGUGCUUAACACAUGCAAGUCGAACGGAAGGCCCUGCUUUUGUGGGGUGCUCGGGUGGCGAACGGGGGAGUAACACGUGAGUAACCUGCCCUUGACUUUUGGAUAACUUCAGGAAACUGGCUAAUACCGGAUAGGAGCUCCUGCUGCAUGGUGGGGGUUGGAAAGUUUCGGCGGUUGGGGAUGGACUCGCGGCUUAUCAGCUUGUUGGUGGGGUAGUGGCUUACCACGGCUUUGACGGGUAGCCGGCCGGAGAGGGUGAUCGGCGACCAUGGGACUGAGAGACGGCCCAGACGCCUACGGGAGGCAGCAGUGGGGAAUAUUGCACAAUGGGCGGAAGCCUGAUGCAGCAACGCCGCGUGCGGGAUGACGGCCUUCGGGUUGUAAACCGCUUCCGCCUGUGACGAAGCGUGAGUGACGGUAAUGGGUAAAGAAGCACCGGCUAACUACGUG
rnacentral:rRNA from 1 species